AGGAUAAUAGUUAAAAUUAUAACAUUUAAUCUGCAUUUAAAAAUUAUUAAUAAAAAUUAAUUUAUCUUA
rnacentral:tRNA from 1 species